GCUGGCGGCGUGCUUAACACAUGCAAGUCGAACGAGGUCCAACCGAACUUCGGUUUGGUGACGACCUAGUGGCGAACGGGUGCGUAACACGUGAGAAACCUGCCCCGGUCUCUGGGAUAACAGUCGGAAACGACUGCUAAUACCGGAUACCGUCGGACCACCGCAUGGUGGACCGACGAAAGGGUUACCGGAUCGGGAGGGUCUCGCGGCCUAUCAGCUUGUUGGUGAGGUAACGGCUCACCAAGGCAUUGACGGGUAGCUGGUCUGAGAGGAUGAUCAGCCACACUGGGACUGAGACACGGCCCAGACUCCUACGGGAGGCAGCAGUGGGGAAUAUUGCACAAUGGGCGAAAGCCUGAUGCAGCAACGCCGCGUGCGGGAAGAAGGCCCUAGGGUUGUAAACCGCUUUCAGCAGGGAAGAAAAUGACGGUACCUGCAGAAGAAGGUGCGGCCAACUACGUGCCAGCAGCCGCGGUGACACGUAGGCACCAAGCGUUGUCCGGAUUUAUUGGGCGUAAAGAGCUCGUAGGCGGUUCAGUAAGUCGGGUGUGAAAACUCUGGGCUCAACCCAGAGACGCCACCCGAUACUGCUGUGACUCGAGUGCGGUAGGGGAGCGGGGAAUUCCUAGUGUAGCGGUGAAAUGCGCAGAUAUUAGGAGGAACACCAGUGGCGAAGGCGCCGCUCUGGGCCGUAACUGACGCUGAGGAGCGAAAGCGUGG
rnacentral:rRNA from 1 species